rnacentral:rRNA from 1 species
CUACGUGCCAGCAGCCGCGGUAAUACGGAAGGUCCGGGCGUUAUCCGGAUUUAUUGGGUUUAAAGGGAGCGUAGGCCGCGCCUUAAGCGUGUUGUGAAAUCCGGGUGCUCAACAUCCGGCUUGCAGCGCGAACUGGGGCGCUUGAGUGCGCAGAAAGUAGGCGGAAUUCGUGGUGUAGCGGUGAAAUGCUUAGAUAUCACGAGGAACUCCGAUUGCGAAGGCAGCCUACUGUAGCGCUACUGACGCUGAUGCUCGAAAGCGUGGGUAUCGAACAGGAUUAGAUACCCUGGUAGUCCACGCGGUAAACGAUGGAUGCUCGUUGUCGGCCCUUCGGGUCGGUGACCAAGCGAAAGCGUUAAGCAUCCCACCUGGGGAGUACGCCGGCAACGGUGAAACUCAAAGGAAUUGACGGGGGCCCGCACAAGCGGAGGAACAUGUGGUUUAAUUCGAUGAUACGCGAGGAACCUUACCCGGGCUUGAAC